rnacentral:misc_RNA from 1 species
GGGGGUGAAAGUUGUUAGGUUGUCUUUGGUAUUUGGUAUAUAUAUGCUUCCCUUUUCAUGAGAGUUUAUUCCCUUUUUGAGCAAUUUUUAGCCGGUUUUAGAAGAAAAAAUUAUGCCACAUAAACUGAGAUCCUAGGGAGUAUUAUGUAGUUUGACUUGCCGUGGAAGAACUGACCAGUGAAACAACUAUUCAGUUACUCAAGAUAUUUUUCUACAAAAUGGGGUUAGCUUGGUAAAGUGUAUAUCUGAAGACUAAUUGAAAAGAGAUUACACAUCAGUGUCUUCUGUCACUUUUGGGCAGUAAUGAC